UGUGAAUUUUAAAACUAUUCCACCCUAAUCAGACCAUUCUUUAGAAGAUUUGAUUUAGCUAUUUUCUGAUCAAUAACAAUAGAGAUAUUUGGAAUAACAGAAUCAGGUCUUGGGAAGUCCACAUUUUCCCCACCCUCCUUAGUUUAGCAAGAUUAGGAAGGUCUGCACCAAACUCAAAGAUUAAGUGUCUGAGAAAAAAGACAAGAGACAUGUGCAGAGAAAAGGACAUACCUCUGGGCUGUCCUAAGUCAAGCUCAGCCAUCAUCAGUACAGAUGAGAUGCAUGAAAGUGAUGUAAAACUGUCUAUAUAAGACACAUCACUUCCUCUCUUCUUCUCUUUCCCAGGAGAGGUGACUCUGGCUGGCAGCAUGCUAAGCGUUCUGACAUCUUGGUGUGGUGGCAGUUAUUGUCUGGGUUUGGUGAUGAGUUUUGCCUUGGAGCUGAUUGCAGGUGGAACUGAUCCUGUCUCUAGAGGGAACCAACAGGCAUUGUUGCAAAACUCACUGCCUUACAAGGGCCUGAACUCAUUCUAACUUUGGUAACUAGUGUAGUAAGUAAAGGAAGAUCGCAAAAUGAUUCUGCAAAAUGAACUACAUUUGAUUGACAGGGACAUGUGACAGAGAAUCACAUGGGAGCCUGAGUCAAGAUUAUAUGGUCACAACUAAAAACCAAACUUCUGGGGAAAGUUUGGAGGUAGCUGAGAUUUCCAUCUUUCUACAAGGUUUCUGGACCCUUUUGUGAGAUACCAGCUUGAGAGGAGAAAACUGCAUUUACUGGCUGCUGGCAGCUGGACAGAAGACCAAAGAUGAACCAUCCCUUCUCUGCUGGACCUACUUUGGACUUUACCUCUGGGAUCUUGGCUCAUUUACUGGACUCUGUUUUGUGAGCUUCUGUUUGCGGGGAACUUAACUGAUAGCCAUUAGGAUUGUAUUAAGGGAAUUCAGGUUUGGGGAUAAGAGAAACUUAUUCUAAAAAUAUUCUAAAUUGUAAAAAUCUAAAAUUCUAAAAAAAAAAGAGAGAACUUUUCCUACUCUCUUGUUACCCUCCUUCCUCUCCCUUUCUCCACCAAUAAACUUAAAAUAUUUAGAUGUUUCCCUCUUGUC
rnacentral:lncRNA from 1 species